GCAAAGGGGGUUUAUAGUCAAAUUUCCCAUAAAUUUUUGGUGACAAAUUUGGUCUCAGCUGAUCAUCUGCCGCUCUGGCGUUCACUCACGGCCUUUCACGCAUUGUCAUGUUGAGGCUUUCUUGUGAGUGCUUAUGGCUUACUCUGAUGUACUGAGAUUCUUGUUGGCGGCUGUUAUUUGGUGUGGAACAUAUGCUUUUGUUGCUGCUAUUUGGGUUUUCCAAGAUAUCUUCCGUACUUCCAUUUUGAAUUGGUAGAGAAUUUUUUUUAAGGCUAUCAUGGGUUACGCGCAGCUAGUUAUUCGCCCUGCUGGAAGUGGGAAGUCUACAUAUUGCUCUAGUCUGUACAAACAUUGCGAAACUAUGAGGAGAACAAAUCAUAUUGUGAACUUAGAUCCUGCUGCUGAAAGUUUCGAUUAUCCUGUUACCAUGGAUAUCAGGGAACUCAUUUCUUUGGAUGAUGUUAUGGGGGAGCUUGGACUUGGUCCAAACAGUGGCCUUAUCUACUGCAUGGAGCACCUUGAAGAAAAUUUGGAUGAUUGGCUAACUGAAGAAUUGGAUAACUACUUGGACGAUGAUUAUUUAGUUUUUGACUGCCCAGGCCAGAUGGAACUUUUUUCACACAUUCCUGUCCUUAAAAAUUUUGUGGAACAUUUAAAGCGCAAGAACUUCAAUGUUUGUGUUGAGUAUUUGCUUGAUUCACAGUUCGUGACUGAUGUGACAAAGUUUAUAAGUGGUUGCAUGGCUUCACUUUCUGCAAUGGUCCAAAUUGAGGUACCCCAUGUCAAUAUUCUCUCCAAAAUGGACCUCGUGACAAACAAAAGAACCAUUGAAGAUUACUUGAAUCCAGAGCCUCGAGUUUUGCUGUCACAGUUGAAUCAACGCAUGGCUCCACAAUUUGAAAAACUUAACAAAGCUUUGAUUGAAUUGUUGUAACAGGUCGAUCAAUAUAGCAUGGUAAGAUUUGUGCCUCUGGACUCGAGGAAAGAGAGCAGAUAAUCAGAGUUUAAUGGUGCUGUAAACUUGGCACUCGGAGAAGUAGGUAGAAAUGUAGUUCUCUUAAUUUCUACAUACUACAAUUCAACGACAUCAGAUAUUUUGAAGGAUGAAGAGUUGCUGCUAUCCUGUAUGAUAUUGUGUUUGAGAUGAGCUUGUACUUAUUUACACUUAGCUAGAGUAGUAGAUGAAACUGCUAAUGAGCUUUAUAGUAAUGAUCAGUUUGGAUCAAUUGAGAACUCGACAUGAAAUUUAUCUCCAAAUUACUAGAUACUAUUAAAUUUUCUAAUAAAUUAAAGCCACCUUUAUACAGGUGUAACAGUUUUAUGGACAAGCAGAGAGAGAGAGAGGUUGUUUGGUACAAUUUAUAGAUAGUUUGUUUCAUUUUCGGAGUGCGUAUCAGAAUUGGUGCAAUUUCUUAUUCUUACAGAGAUUAGAGGGCUAGUUUUGGUGCAAUUUCAAGAUAGUAAAAUUUAAAUACGUUGCAACAAAAAUAUCUAAAAAUUGAGAAAACGAUAUUUUCACUUUUGGCUUUCUAAUUAUUUUCAUCUCGAGGAAAACUACAGAAAACAGGCUCAAAGAGUCACUCCAUAGACAGUUAAACAAUCAAACCUGAAAAUUAUGUAAUGCCAAAUUGAUCUUGUUCAGCCCAAAAAAAUGAAAAAAUUCAAACAACUGUAGUAAUUAAACUUUCUUUAAAAACCGCAGGCCAGUUGAACAAAGCACAAUUUGUUCUGUACUGCACAUGUUUUUCCAUCCCAAUAAGAAAAUGAGCAUGGAAUUUACUUUCCCACCUCAAUUAAUUUUGCUUGGAAAUAUAAAGAAAUUAAAACACUAAAAAAUUAACCUCCUAUUAUUCAACUCUCAUUAAUACUGCCCCAUUACCUCCAAUUUUUCCCAUCCCAUCAAAGGACGACAAAAAACAAAAAAAGAAAGCAAAAUGCAAAAUGCAAAAUGCAAAAUGCAAAA